rnacentral:rRNA from 1 species
UUCUGUAAGCGGAUGAAGGUUAAUCGAGAGGUUAGCUGGACGUAUCAGAAGUGCGAAUGCUGACAUAAGUAACGAUAAAACGGGUGAAAAACCCGUUCGCCGGAAGACCAAGGGUUCCUGUCCAACGUUAAUCGGGGCAGGGUGAGUCGGCCCCUAAGGCGAGGCUGAAAAGCGUAGUCGAUGGGAAACGGGUUAAUAUUCCCGUACUUGGAUAAACUGCGAUGUGGGGACGGAGCAGGUUAGGUUAUCGCACUGUUGGAUAUGUGCGUUUAAGUUUGUAGGUGUGAAGUUUAGGCAAAUCCGGACUUCUUUAACACUGAGAGAUGAUGACGAGGCUCUACGGAGCUGAAGUAACCGAUACCACACUUCCAGGAAAAGCCACUAAGCUUCAGGUUUAUCUAAACCGUACUGAAAACCGACACAGGUGGUCAGGUAGAGAAUACUCAGGCGCUUGAGAGAACUCGGGUGAAGGAACUAGGCAAAAUAGCACCGUAACUUCGGGAGAAGGUGCGCCGGCGUAGAUUGUAGUCCCUUGCGGGCGAAGGUUGAACCGGUCGAAGAUACCAGCUGGCUGCAACUGUUUAUUAAAAACACAGCACUCUGCAAACACGAAAGUGGACGUAUAGGGUGUGAUGCCUGCCCGGUGCUGGAAGGUUAAUUGAUGGUGUAAUCGAAAGAGAAGCUCCUGAUCGAAGCCCCAGUAAACGGCGGCCGUAACUAUAACGGUCCUAAGGUAGCGAAAUUCCUUGUCGGGUAAGUUCCGACCUGCACGAAUGGCAUAAUGAUGGCCAGGCUGUCUCCACCCGAGACUCAGUGAAAUUGAAAUCGCCGUGAAGAUGCGGUGUACCCGCGGCUAGACGGAAAGACCCCGUGAACCUUUACUAUAGCUUGACACUGAACAUUGAAUUUUGAUGUGUAGGAUAGGUGGGAGACUUAGAAGUAGUCACGCCAGUGAUUAUGGAGUCGUCCUUGAAAUACCACCCUUUAACGUUUGAUGUUCUAACGAAGAUUACGAAACGUGGUCUCGGACAGUGUCUGGUGGGUAGUUUGACUGGGGCGGUCUCCUCCCAAAGAGUAACGGAGGAGCACGAAGGUUUGCUAAUGACGGUCGGACAUCGUCAGGUUAGUGCAAUGGUAUAAGCAAGCUUAACUGCGAGACAGACAAGUCGAGCAGGUACGAAAGUAGGUCAUAGUGAUCCGGUGGUUCUGAAUGGAAGGGCCAUCGCUCAACGGAUAAAAGGUACUCCGGGGAUAACAGGCUGAUACCGCCCAAGAGUUCAUAUCGACGGCGGUGUUUGGCACCUCGAUGUCGGCUCAUCUCAUCCUGGGGCUGUAGCCGGUCCCAAGGGUAUGGCUGUUCGCCAUUUAAAGUGGUACGCGAGCUGGGUUUAGAACGUCGUGAGACAGUUCGGUCCCUAUCUGCCGUGGGCGUUGGAGAAUUGGUUGGGGCUGCUC